UCGGGAAUCUUGGACAAUGGGGGCAACCCUGAUCCAGCCACGCCGCGUGGGUGAUGGAGGCCUUCGGGUCGUAAAGCCCUGUCAGAGGGGAAGAAACGGUUCAAGGAUAAUACCCUUGGAUCUUGACGGUACCCUCAGAGGAAGCACCGGCUAACUACGUGCCAGCAGCCGCGGUAAGACGUAGGGUGCGAGCGUUACUCGGAAUCACUGGGCGUAAAGCGCGUGUAGGCGGUCUGGUAAGCGGGGUGUGAAAUCCCUCGGCUCAACCGAGGAGGUGCGCCCUGAACUGCCGGGCUUGAGUCCGGGAGAGGGUGGUGGAAUUCCUGGUGGAACGGUGAAAUGUGUAGAUAUCAGGAAGAACAUCGGUGGCGAAGGCGGCCGCCUGGCCCGGUACUGACGCUGGAACGCGAAAGCGUGGGUAGCAAACAGG
rnacentral:rRNA from 1 species